UACGUAGGGGACCGAGCGUUGUCCGGAAUCAUUGGGCGUAAAGAGCGUGUAGGCGGCCUUUUUAAGUCCUGCGUGAAAUCCUGCGGCUCAACCGCAGAACGGUCGUGGGAAACUGGAAGGCUAGAGUGCGGGAGAGGAGAGUGGAAUUCCGAGUGUAGAGGUGAAAUUCGCAGAUAUUCGGAAGGAAUACCAGUGGCGUAGGCGCUAACUGGACGGGUAUUGACGCUGAGGCACGAAAGCGUGGGGUAGCAAACAGG
rnacentral:rRNA from 1 species